rnacentral:rRNA from 1 species
ACCUGUUCCCAUCCCGAACACAGAAGUUAAGCUCUUAUACGCCGAAGGUACUGCACUGGCAACGGUGUGGGAGACUAGGUAGCUGCCGGGU